rnacentral:lncRNA from 1 species
AUGAACAAUGCUGUCUUCAACUCCCUCAUGCCUGAGCUUCCACAAAGGCCUUCUUUGAAACCCAUGCAAGCAGAACAACCAAGGUGCUUCAUCAAUGGGGCUCAUGUACUGACAGGGCUCCGAACAGAAAGAAUUUGCUGCCUUGUGGUGCUGGCCAGGUGUGGAGUCAGGGAUUGUGAGGCAGCCUUCCUGGAGGACUGGAGGCUUCGAAGCUGGGGGAGGACGCCAUGUGACGUGAGUGACUCCACCCAGGACAACACCCUUUGGCUCCUGCUUAUAUGUCCCAAUGUUCACCGGACUCAGAUGCUUGAGUGUCUAGGAGAUACCUGUGCUUAUUCCCCUCCGAGCCUUGCGGUCCUCCCCAUCUCAGCACGACACCUCCAGAAACACAGGUGUCACCCGCAUGUUCUUUCAUGCCCUCAAACCUAAUAUAGUUGACAGUAACGGAAGUUGGAAGUUCCUCCUCCACACCAUGUGAUUCUUCACGGCCGUGUAGCCCCUAUGCCGUCUGGGUAGGGCCGCUCACUCCCAUACCUUCCCCGGUCCAAGCCAACAAGGGUAAUCUCAUCCCUCAUCCACGCCGUGUCUGGUAACGUCCAUCUAAGCUAACGAGGCUGCGGGCAAUGGACGUAUAGUGGGGGUAGGAAGCUAGCCCUGGCCCGUUCUCCCGGCAAUGGGCAUUUGUCCAGAGAUGGCUCAAUCAAUCCGAGAUCAGGAUUUUUAUUUUACAGUUGUUGGAACGAUGCCUGCCCCUCCCCCAGGCAAAUAGGACCAUCUUGCCACCCUGUAUAGGUCUUGCUCUUGAAGCCAAGAGGUAUGGACUUGCAUCCAGGUAUGGACUCAGCAUAAGGAUAAAGGGAUGCAGAAAGGGUGGGGGACAGACGGAGUGGGACUGAGAAGCAGAAGAAUACAUUUAGAGCCCUGAUCAAACCUUACUUGAAGCCCACAUCUGUCAUAGCUUUCACUUUAUAAGUCUGUAAAUCGUCCUUAUUUUCUGAAGAAAGUUGAUGGAGUUUUGUUUCCUGAAAUCGAAAGAACCAAACCAAUAAACGUAUCCACGCCACUAGCCA